rnacentral:rRNA from 1 species
CACGUAGGGUGCGAGCGUUGUCCGGAAUUAUUGGGCGUAAAGAGCUCGUAGGCGGUGUGUCGCGUCGGCCGUGAAAACCUGCAGCUUAACUGUGGGCGUGCGGUCGAUACGGGCAUCACUGGAGUUCGGCAGGGGGAGACUGGAAUUCCUGGUGUAGCGGUGAAAUGCGCAGAUAUCAGGAGGAACACCGGUGGCGAAGGCGGGUCUCUGGGCCGAUACUGACGCUGAGGAGCGAAAGCGUGGGGAGCAAACAGG